rnacentral:rRNA from 1 species
UACGUAGGGGCCUAGCGUUGUCCGGAUUUAUUGGGCGUAAAGAGCUCGUAGGCGGUUUGUCGCGUCUGCCGUGAAAGUCCGGGGCUCAACUCCGGAUCUGCGGUGGGUACGGGCAGACUAGAGUGAUGUAGGGGAGACUGGAAUUCCUGGUGUAGCGGUGAAAUGCGCAGAUAUCAGGAGGAACACCGAUGGCGAAGGCAGGUCUCUGGGCAUUAACUGACGCUGAGGAGCGAAAGCUAGGGGAGCAAACAGG